GACGAACGCUGGCGGCGUGCCUAACACAUGCAAGUCGAACGGGGGUAGCAAUACCUCAGUGGCGAACGGGUGCGUAACACGUGAAGAAUUUGUCCAACGGCGGGGGAUAGCCGGCCCAACGGCCGGGUAAUACCGCGUACGACCCUCGGGGGGCAUCCCCUGAAGGUGAAAGCCGCAAGGCGCCGAUGGAGAACUUCGCGGCCUAUCAGCUAGUUGGUGAGGUCAUGGCUCACCAAGGCGACGACGGGAGCUGGUCCGAGAGGAUGACCAGCCACAUUGGGACUGAGACACGGCCCAGACUCCUACGGGAGGCAGCAGUGGGGAAUAUUGGACAAUGGGCGCAAGCCUGAUCCAGCGAUGCCGCGUGUGUGAAGAAGGCCU
rnacentral:rRNA from 1 species